rnacentral:rRNA from 1 species
AGUGAACGCUGGCGGUAGGCCUAACACAUGCAAGUCGAACGGCAGCACAGUAAGAGCUUGCUCUUACGGGUGGCGAGUGGCGGACGGGUGAGGAAUACAUCGGAAUCUACUUUUUCGUGGGGGAUAACGUAGGGAAACUUACGCUAAUACCGCAUACGACCUACGGGUGAAAGCAGGGGAUCUUCGGACCUUGCGCGAUUGAAUGAGCCGAUGUCGGAUUAGCUAGUUGGCGGGGUAAAGGCCCACCAAGGCGACGAUCCGUAGCUGGUCUGAGAGGAUGAUCGGCCACACUGGAACUGAGACACGGUCCAGACUCCUACGGGAGGCAGCAGUGGGGAAUAUUGGACAAUGGGCGCAAGCCUGAUCCAGCCAUACCGCGUGGGUGAAGAAGGCCUUCGGGUUGUAAAGCCCUUUUGUUGGUAAAGAAAAGCAGCAGGUUAAUACCCCGCUGUUCUGACGGUACCCAAAGAAUAAGCACCGGCUAACUUCGUG